GGUUCCGCCAUUUGAAAAAAAACGUUCGUAACUGCUCAGCUGAACCCGAAGCUUGAUGAAGAAGGCCGUCAAUAUUUCAACAAAAACUAACAGAAUAUGGAUCAGAUUCGGACAACGACUUCUUAAGACAUUCACACAACAGGCUAAACAAUUCAAAGAGGGAUCUCUGGAUGAUCGAGCAGCAAGUCCAGCAUUAUGUGGGAAAGAUACUACAGGUGUACACAGAAAAGGCCAUGUUCUUGUACAAGACACGGUUGGAGUUCAUAAAAGAUUAAGCUGCCUCGUGCUAUACAGACUUGGAUAAAAACAAGCUGUCCAAUGAAUGGUGACUACUCAAGAGGAGCCAGAAAGUCAACUAAAGCCAGGGUAUUUUGGGAGUUGAUAUGGCCGGGGAAGGGGGGAGGGGGGGUUUCCAGGCCCCCCCCCCCUUCCUUGAGAUCUUGACCGCACAAUCGCGUCUAACAUUGGCACAUGGGUUGUCUAGGGCAUAAUUUACAAAAUUAAAUUGUAAAUUAUUUCACGCAAAUUGUUAGUAAGUGAUAAUACUAAUUUAUGCGUAAUUAGAAUACAAAAUCAUACUUUUUCCUCUAUUGCAUUGACUUUGUACACAAAAUCACGUUUUUGAGCAAUUUUUGGUAUGACAUGUACUUACAUAAUGUCACGUUAUUACAGAACCACGUACCGGGUGACACAAGAUUGGUCUCAAAAGAUGCACAAGACUAGAAAGAGGCAUGUUUUAAAAAAAUUGUGCGACAGCAUGGUCGCAAAAUUUUUGGAAGGGGGGGGGGGUCAAAUUGGUCCAAUUUAACUAAGGGUUAAUAACUGGGAGGCUGUUAGCUGCCUUUUUACUUUCAAGUCUUGCACAUCUUUUGAGACCAAAUUUGUGAUGCCUGGGUACGCUGUUCCGAAAUUUCGCAACAUUUUUAUGUAUUAAUCCAACACAAAUACUGUUUCUUGCUAAAAAUUCACAAUUAGUAUACCAGUAAUAUACAUUUAUCAAGUCAAAUUAUUUAAUUACAUUUAUAAUCAUAAAAGCUUUGAUAAAGUAUAAAAAAAAACAAAGAGUUGUAUGUAGGCCUGGGACUUUCGGGUUUUUUCUCUUCGGGUACCCGUGGUAAUUUUCGGGUGGGUACCUGAAAAUCAUGUCACUUGAAAUAUGACUGGUGGAAACACCCCAUAGGUGACGUCAUCAAGCCAAUGCGAUGCAAGCCAAUUUAUGAAUGAAAAUAUAGUAAGCAUGCGCAUUGCAAGCCUCCUGUGCCCCACGCAGUAUUCCAUCGAAACAAGUUUCAAUACUCUGUCACCUCGUACCAAAAUCGACCUAGAAUUCCACUUUCCUAUAUAUCAUAUGAAUUAUAAAAGGUUUUCUCACCGAUACUGCACAGGUAAGCAAAUUUUUAUUCUUGCUUUUCCGUCAAAAUCUUACGAAGUAGCAUCGAUAUUACAUCGUGUUCGUGAGUUUGUAUCGCUACGUGAACAAAGUCAAUUGAUUUCCGGGUUUCGGAGCGUCAAAUGCGCCAGCCAAUCACGAUUGUGUUCCCAUUUUCGGUUUAUGAUGAACUAAAAAUGGUAACAAGAACGUGAUUGGCUGGUGCUUCGUAGGUCGAUUUUGGUAUGAGGUGACAGAGUAUUGCAGACUUGUUUUGACGUAAUACUGCGUGGGGCUGAGGCUUGCAAUGCGCAUGCUUACUAUAUUUUCAUUCAUAAAUUGGUUUGCGUCGCAGUGGCUGGAUGACGUCACUGCGCUGCAAAAGAAACAUGGCGAUGAUUGAACGAUCUCGGUCACAUCAUCAUCACUUGAAAACUUGUAUAUUUAUGGAUAUUUAGAGGGUAAUUGGUGAAAUUCAAAAUGAGGCUUGUGUACUUUUGUAAUGAGUUACAAUCAUGUCUUACACUACGCAAUACAAAUCAAAUACAUGUACAUUAUACUGGUGAGCAAUUUUCGGGUAUCGGGUAUUGAUUUUUCUACUCGGGUACCCGGGUUUUAGUCCCAGCCCUAGUUGUAUGAAAAUUUUCAAAAAUAAUGAAAGGUAAAAGAAAACAAGAUUACAAUGUCCAUUGCAAGGGGGCUAGUCUAGCUAUUCAGGAUAAUUGGGAUUUUAUUCAGUUUUUAAUUGACAUAACAUUAUGACAAGAUCCCUCCAGUUAGUGUAUAAACAGCACAUGGCCAUGAUUGAAAUUCAUAUAACAUUAAAGUAUGCAAACCAGGCAGCUACAUGUACAUGUAUUGUAGGACUCACUGCUUGUCAAUUCUAUUGUCUGCCAGGGUCAAGUGACAUACAGUGCACAUGUAUAACAUGUGUGAAAGUACAUAAGAAAAUCAGCUUUUUAUUUUUGUACUGUAACAUUGGGUGAACUGGUGAUCACUUUGGAUAUGAUGCUCUUCAUAUUGGUUUAUUUUAUGUAUAUGAAUUUUUGGAUAAUCAUUAAGAAUUAAAGCCAUUUACUUAAUAUAUGGAAGCAUAAGCCCAUCAAAGAACAGAAUUAUGUCAUGUACAGCUAAUUCAUUUUGCGUGAUAUUACAAUUGUAAUUGUUUACUUGAGCAAGUAAUUUGAAUUGCUGCAUGACCUAAACAAUGACAUGUUCCAAUUCGAAUAGUAACAUGACCUAAAGAAGAGUUACUCCACCUCGAUUGAGAGUGCUUAUGUUAAAUAAUUGAUGUUGCUACUUCAAAUAAUUGAGGUCAAUCAAAUUGGUCAUAAUUAUUCAAGUCAAUUUUGAGCUAUAUGUCAUAAUUAAUUAGGUCAUAUACUAAUUGAAAUUACUAAAUGACUCGAGUAGGUAUGAAUUCACAUUGCCACAUGACCUUAAUUAUUUUAUGUAGCAACAUCAAGUAUUGAACGUCAUUUAGUUAUCAAUUAUGACAUGUAGCAAAUCAAAUUACAUGCCGCAAUUUCGUGUUUAUGAUGGGCUCAUGCUUACAUUCAUAUAUAACCCUUCAAUACGUAGUUGGAGCAAUUCUUAGACAAGAAGACUGUGUAAAAUGAUAUGCCUAUUCAAUGUCAAAAAGGUUAAUGUCUCAAUAGAUUUGAUCUACGUUUUGGCAAAGUAAUCUUAUGUAAAUAUUUUUUCUAACCUAUGGUGAACGUUCUAAAUCAUGUGAAAUUCAUUCAAAAAUAUCUUUCAGUAUUUAUGGACUUAAGUGAAUUCUGAGCAAAAUGAAGUGAUUAUGAUUACGUUCAUGUACUUUAAGUUUAUACUGGUGAUCAACACAUCAUAAUUUCAUCCCUUACUGUAUGUGCACCAUGCAUUAUCUGUACAUGCAGAAGUGGUUAUCCAUUGUUUCAUAACAUGGUUGAGUAAAGGAUGUUCUGCUUUUAGUAUUAAGCCAAUCGGGUGUUGACAAGAAGGGGAAAAUGCAAUUGCUCAGCUAUUACAGUUUUUUUUGCAACCAUAAUACUGGUUAAGCCUUGGUUACAUUCGCCGGCUCGUGGCCUUACGUCGAGUCAAAAUUAACAGUCUUAAUCAUCCUUGUACCAGCUACUACCAGCUACACGUGGGUGGUUUGUACAGGAAUACCUAAAACUGCUGAUUUUGUCUCGCCAUAAGGCAACCGGUCAAGGAAUGUGACCAAGGUAUUAAUAAUAAUCGCUUAUUGUUGUGUUAGAGGGAAGGAUUCUGGGUCGAAUCUAGCUUUCUUUAUGUGAUCUCAAAAUGGCAGCAAUGUAUGAAUAGUGAAAGUAGUUCAUGUGGCAUCUCAAUGUUCAUGGAUAUAAAUCUUUGUACAUGUCUUAUCCUAAAGAUGAAAUGUUACUGCAUUAUUCUAGCAGUCAUUUAUGAUAUCAAAGAUGUUCUAUACUGUGCAUAGUACAGCUCAUACAUAAUAAAGGUAUGUGAAUAUGCUUUUAA